UUAGUAUGGGAGCUGUGGUCAAAAGACGC
rnacentral:sRNA from 1 species